GACGAACGCUGGCGGCGUGCUUAACACAUGCAAGUCGAACGGGCCCGCCCCUGUUUUUGGGGGUGGGUUGAGUGGCGAACGGGUGAGUAUCACGUGAGUAACCUGCCCCCUGCUCCUGGAUAACUGCUUGAAAGGGCGGCUAAUACGGGGUGUGCCGGCUGGUCCGCAUGGGCCUGGUCGGGAUAGUUUCAUCUUCGGGUGUUUCGGUGGGGGAUGGGCUCGCGGCCUAUCAGCUUGUUGGUGGGGUGAUGGCCCACCAAGGCGGUGACGGGUAGCCGGCCUGAGAGGGUGGGCGGCCACACUGGGACUGAGACACGGCCCAGACGCCUGCGGGAGGCAGCAGUGGGGGGUAUUGCACAAUGGGCGGAAGCCUGAUGCAGCGACGUCGCGUGAGGGAUGGAGGCCUUCGGGUGGGGAACCUCUUUCUCCGGGGGUGAAGGCCCUGUCCGGUGCGGCGGGGUUGACGGUAGCCGGGGAUGAAGCGCCGGCUAACUACGUG
rnacentral:rRNA from 1 species